GCGUUCGUGGUGUAAUGGUCAGCAGGGAUGCCUUCCAAGCAUUCGACGGGGGUUCGAUUUCCCCCGAACGCA
rnacentral:tRNA from 1 species